CACAUUUCUGCAUGUGUUGCCUAAUAAUGCCAUAAUUGCAAUCUAUCAUAUAAUUAUUGAUAAUAUAAGGGCUGCUGUUAAGUCAUUAAUGAUGUUGAUCUGAUCACAUUGACUCUGUUCUCAUUCUUUUUCACAACACUUUUAUCCACUUAAGUACGGAGAGAAUUGUACAAGUUGUAACCCGUCUUGUUACCCCCGCUAAUAAUGUAUUAAGAGAC